GGUAUUUAAGAAAAUGAUGUACAUAUUUUAUUCAAAUAGUAUACUCAACUGUUAAGAUUUUUUCCUAUAUGGAUGGUAACUAAUUUUAUAAAUAAUAUUUUAUUUUUAUUGUAUUGAAGGGAAUGUAUUCCGGAUAUCCUAUAAAUAUUCUAAUUUUUAGUAGCACGUACUUAAAUAUGGAAUGUAAUUAAUACCAAAAUUUUUGAUGAGAAAUAAUAACAUAUACUAUCCAAAUCAUUGUUACCAAAACCAUAUAUAUUUAUAUUUUAUAGAAAACCAACAGUAGAAUCUAGCCAAAAUGUAAGACUCAAACUAAUUAAAUAACAUAUAUUAAAUUCUUGAUAUAUUAUUAAUAUCUGUAUAACCACACAAAUGUCUAUAAACUGUGUGUGUAUUUUUGCAAUCCGGUAUCAAAUCAGUUCUUGAUAUUUGUUUACCUAAUUUCAUAACAUAUAAUAACUUAUUUCCGCAAAUAAGACUCACAAAAAUGAAACUUUGUUGUAGAAUGUAGACCGAAUACAAAAAGUCUUACAAAGUUAUAAUGUAUACUUUGUAUGAUAUACGUUUUGCAUAUAUCAAAUUGGUUUAAGAUUAGAACAACAUUGAUAAGUCUUAAAUUAAACCGGAUUAAACCAUUUUAGCUAUAAACAGGUCUACGUAAGUGAUAUAGAUGGUUUCAUUGUCCAAAUGUGAAAUAGUGAGAAUACUGAUUUUUUUGUAAAAAAAAAUAAAGCUUUUUCUGUCAAAUAAAUUUUAACCGGUUUGGUUUUGUAUAUACAUGUACUGAGAUAGCUAUUGUUAGGUGAUAAACAAAGAUUCACUUUCUAAAAUAAAUACUAUAAAUGAAAAUAUAUGAUUUCAAUCAACGUUGCCUUUAAUAACCAAAUGAAAGCUGUAAGGCUAAUUAACAGGGUACAAAUAUUGUUCCUAAAUAAUAGCUGUAGAGCAAAUGUCAAUGGCAUUUAGUGGUAAUUAUUUAGGAAAAUUAAGGGUUAGGUACUAAAUGUAUUUCAGUUUUAAUAGUUUAGAUUUAUACUUUUCAAUGAAAAAAAUUAUUUUUUAUGAAUGCUUAAAUUAUAUUAAGAAACGAAAAAAUAUAAUAAUUAAGAAUAGUUCUAAAAAUAUUAUUUGAAUUUAGACUCAAUGGCCCAAAGAAAAAAAAAGAGAAUUAGAUCUGGUUUCUUAAUCGGCUCAAAUGGCCCAAGAGAGAUCUGAUGUGGGCUGGAUCUAAAAUAAAUGACCCAAUAUAGAUGUGUUAUUAAUAUUAUUUGAUUGCCCUUAAUGAAACAUGUAAAGUUAGUAAAGAAAAAGACAUGCUAAAGUAAAAAAUGACAAUAUGAUCCUGCUUUAAUAGUAUAGAUAUCUAAUUAUAUAAAGUAGAGUUCACUCUCUCCUGGUGAUGCCACGUCAUCAAUUGGGUAAAGGAAAGAGUGACACCUGUUUCUUUGCUUUAAAUGUUGCGUUCCAUUUAUUUGAUCACGGGUUUCUUUUCUAAUUCUGUUGGGCUGCCUCCACAUGAUCAGACCCAUCUAGCUCUACAAUCACUAACGUCAUGUUUUCAAUUAGUGCUCAGAGAGUCUCUCUCUCGCGUCUCCACCCUUCCUCCAUUGACCAUUGCCAAUCUUUCGUCUUCCUCCUUCUUCCGGUGGGAGAUGAAGCAGUAACCGAUACCCUCUCAUAAAGCCCUCCUUAAUCAAUUACACACGAUUUCCAUUCAAUGCGAUCCUGGAGAGUGCAAGGCGGUGGAGGCUCUGCUAUAAAAACACUGGCCGCUGCUCCUCCUCUGUUCAAGUUCGCCUGCUCCGAUUUUGGGAGGCCAGAAACGUCCGGCGUGGGGGAGAGCUAAUGAAACUCGACAUGCUCCUUCUAGAUUCUCAGGCGACUAUGAUGCCGGCGAAGCUCACGAUGCUUCAUGUAGACGAAGCUCACAGAGCAGUGGAAAUGGUUUGAUGAUAAAAUCUUAUAUCAGUUUAUGUACAUGGUCACUGUUUCCCAUUAAAGCGAAACGAUGCAUUAUCUCGCCCUGGAGAUCAUUGGUGUUGGGAAGAAGAAGCUUUAUGCAGCCAAGGGUGAACUUCAAGGAGUCGCAGGAGUUCAAGUCUGCCAAUGACGUUUCCCCUACCAUUACUCCCUUCUAUCUUGGCUGAAAAUAAGGGCUGUGUUUGAUCCAAUGGAAGGAUUAUAAUACUUUUACGCACUAGCUAUCUAUGGAAUGACCCGAGAGCAAAAUGAUGGAGCAUCAAGGAUCACAACUGAUGUGGGGAUGAAAUGAGCUUAUUGCUAAGAACUCUGUUCUUCUUCCCACCUACUCAUUGACACGAAUCUAGGCCGCUGUUUCAUGCCUGAUCUUGGGUCAUUUGUGAGAUUCAACAUGUUGGUAACAGAGCUAAUUUGAUAGAUCCAUCAUCACCCGAUUGUACGACGAACAACAGCAAUAUCGACAGAAGCCUGAAAACAGAGAACAACAAAAACUCAAAUCUUUGAAGAGAAAUAGAGACAAGACAGGAAGUCACGUCCUUAUUGUUGACCAUCUUCACAAUGAUUCCAAGCUCAUAUCCGAUGAGAAUCAAUGGAAGUCUAAGAAACCAAGAACAAAGAAAGAAAGAGUUGGUUCUUCAAAGAUCAGUUUCAAACAUUCAACUUCUUUGUAUGAUAGUGUCGAGCCAUAUGCAUAGGCAAUUGCAGAGAUGAAAGAUAUAAUAUACAAAACGGCUGUGUUUAGACCGGUGAAUAUUCCAUUGUUGAAGAUAAUGGAUCAGAUGAACUUUAUGAAGACCAUUAUAACUUUUUACGUUAAUUUUCGGACCCAAUAGUUUAUUUGGAGUUGUUAGUGUGUGCUUUUUCUAAGUCUUAAAAUUUGGUUUGAACCGUCUGUUCAAUUAACGCAAGUCAUUCUCAACGAA